rnacentral:rRNA from 12 species
UCACAACUUUCAGCGACGGAUAUCUCGGCUCAAGCAUCGAUGAAGGGCGCAGCGAAGUGUGAUAAUCAUUGUGAAUUGCAGAAUUCCGUGAACCAAUGGAUUCUUGAACGUGCAUUGCACUCUCGGGAUAUCCCUGGGAGUAUACCUGCUUCAGUGCUUGUGGAA